rnacentral:rRNA from 1 species
AGUUGGAACGACUGCUAAUACCGGAUGUGCCGAAAGGUGAAAGAUUUAUUGCCUGAAGAUAAGCUCGCGUCUGAUUAGCUAGUUGGUGGGGUAAGAGCCUACCAAGGCGACGAUCAGUAGCUGGUCUGAGAGGAUGAUCAGCCACACUGGGACUGAGACACGGCCCAGACUCCUACGGGAGGCAGCAGUGGGGAAUUUUCCGCAAUGGGCGAAAGCCUGACGGAGCAAUACCGCGUGAGGGAGGAAGGCUCUUGGGUCGUAAACCUCUUUUCUCAAGGAAGAAGAAAGUGACGGUACUUGAGGAAUAAGCAUCGGCUAACUCCGUGCCAGCAGCCGCGGUAAUACGGAGGAUGCAAGCGUUAUCCGGAAUGAUUGGGCGUAAAGGGUCCGCAGGUGGAACUGAAAGUCUGCUGUUAAAGAGUCACGCUCAACGUGAUAAAAGCAGUGGAAACUACAGAACUGGAGUACGUUCGGGGCAGAAGGAAUUCCUGGUGUAGCGGUGAAAUGCGUAGAUAUCAGGAAGAACACCGGUGGCGAAAGCGUUCUGCUAGGCCGUAACUGACACUGAGGGACGAAAGCUAGGGGAGCGAAAGGGAUUAGAUACCCUUGGUAGUCAC